GACGAACGCUGGCGGCGUGCCUAAUACAUGCAAGUCGAACGCAUUUUCUUUCACCGUAGCUUGCUACACCGACAGAAAAUGAGUGGCGAACGGGUGACUAACACGUGGGUAACCUGCCCAUCAGCGGGGGAUAACACUUGGAAACAGGUGCUAAUACCGCAUAAUUCCAUUUACCGCAUGGUAGAUGGGUGAAAGGCGCUUUUGCGUCACUGAUGGAUGGACCCGCGGUUCAUUAGCUAGUUGGUGGGGUAACGGCCUACCAAGGCUGCGAUGCAUAGCCGACCUGAGAGGGUGAUCGGCCACACUGGGACUGAGACACGGCCCAGACUCCUACGGGAGGCAGCAGUAGGGAAUCUUCGGCAAUGGACGCAAGUCUGACCGAGCAACGCCGCGUGAGUGAAGAAGGUUUUCGGAUCGUAAAACUCUGUUGUUAGAGAAGAACAAGGAUGAGAGUGGAAAGUUCAUCCCUUGACGGUAUCUAACCAGAAAGCCACGGCUAACUACGUG
rnacentral:rRNA from 1 species